CAGCCGCCGCGGGAAUACGGAGGGAGCUAGCGUUGUUCGGAAUUACUGGGCGUAAAGCGCACGUAGGCGGCUUUGUAAGUUAGAGGUGAAAGCCUGGAGCUCAACUCCAGAAUUGCCUUUAAGACUGCAUCGCUUGAAUCCGGGAGAGGUGAGUGGAAUUCCGAGUGUAGAGGUGAAAUUCGUAGAUAUUCGGAAGAACACCAGUGGCGAAGGCGGCUCACUGGACCGGCAUUGACGCUGAGGUGCGAAAGCGUGGGGAGCAAACAGGAUUAGAUACCCCUGUAGUCCCUGUCUCUUAUAA
rnacentral:rRNA from 1 species